rnacentral:rRNA from 1 species
AUGCAACGCGAAGAACCUUACCAAGGCUUGACAUACUACAGAUUUCUUUGAAAGAGGAAAGUGCCUUCGGGAAUGUAGAUACAGGUGGUGCAUGGCUGUCGUCAGCUCGUGUCGUGAGAUGUUGGGUUAAGUCCCGCAACGAGCGCAACCCUUAUUUUUAGUUGCUAAUUUAUUUAGGUUUUCUAGAAAGACUGCCGGUGACAAACCGGAGGAAGGUGAGGAUGACGUCAAGUCAGCAUGCCCCUUAUGCCUUGGGCUACACACGUGCUACAAUGGUUAAGACAAAGAGUUGCGAGCUCGUGAGAGUCAGCUAAUCUCAUAAACUUAGCCUAAGUUCGGAUUGUAGGCUGCAACUCGCCUGCAUGAAGUCGGAAUCGCUAGUAAUCGCUGGUCAGCCAUACAGCGGUGAAUCCGUUCCCGGGCCUUGUACACACCGCCCGUCAC